rnacentral:rRNA from 1 species
GUUUACUACGGGAGGCAGCAGUAGGGAAUCUUCGGCAAUGGACGAAAGUCUGACCGAGCAACGCCGCGUGAGUGAAGAAGGUUUUCGGAUCGUAAAACUCUGUUGGGAGAGAAGAACGUUGGUAAGAGUGGAAAGCUCAUCAAGUGACGGUAACUACCCAGAAAGGGACGGCUAACUACGUGCAAGCAGACGCGGUAAUACGUAGGACCCGAGCGUUGUCCGGAUUUAGUG